GAUGAACGCUGGCGGCGUGCCUAAUACAUGCCAGUCGAACGAAACUUCUUUAUCACCGAGUGCUUGCACUCACCGAUAAAGAGUUGAGUGGCGAACGGGUGAGUAACACGUGGGCAACCUGCCCACAAGAGGGGGAUAACACUUGGAAACAGGUGCUAAUACCGCAUAACCAUAGUUACCGCAUGGUAACUAUGUAAAAGGUGGCUAUACUACCGCUUUUGGAUGGGCCCGCGGCGCAUUAGCUAGUUGGUAGGGUAAAGGCUUACCAAGGCAAUGAUGCGUAGCCGAAUUGAGAGGUUGAUCGGCCACAUUGGGACUGAGACACGGCCCAAACUCCUACGGGAGGCAGCAGUAGGGAAUCUUCCACAAUGGGCGAAAGCCUGAUGGAGCAACGCCGCGUGGGUGAAGAAGGUCUUCGGAUCGUAAAACCCUGUUGUUAGAGAAGAAAGUGCGUGAGAGUAACUGUUCACGUUUCGACGGUAUCUAACCAGAAAGCCACGGCUAACUACGUG
rnacentral:rRNA from 1 species